CACACCGCCCGUCACACCACGAAAGUCAACUAUACCAGAAGUCUCUGUGCCAACCGUAAGGAGGCAGGAGCCCAAGGUAUGGUCGAUGAUUGGGGUG
rnacentral:rRNA from 1 species